rnacentral:rRNA from 1 species
AGCAGCCGCGGUAAUUCCAGCUCCAAUAGCGUAUAUUAAAGUUGUUGCAGUUAAAAAGCUCGUAGUUGAAUUUCGGGAUCAGUACGCUGGUCGUGCCUUGUGUAUGUACUGGUGUUACUGGUUCCUACCUUCUGACGAACCGUCAUGUCAUUAAUUUGGUGUGGCGGGGAAUCAGGACUGUUACUUUGAAAAAUUAGAGUGUUUAAAGCAGGCUCGCGCUUGAAUACAUUAGCAUGGAAUAAUGAAAUAGGACGUUUGAUCCUAUUUUGUUGGUUUCUAGGAUUGACGUAAUGAUUAAUAGGGAUAGUUGGGGGCAUUAGUAUUCAAUUGUCAGAGGUGAAAUUCUUGGAUUUAUUGAAGACUAACUACUGCGAAAGCAUUUGCCAAGGAUGUUUUCAUUAAUCAAGAACGAAAGUUAGGGGAUCGAAGACGAUCAGAUACCGUCGUAGU